GUUUCAUUUCCCCUGUACUUUCCUCAGCCAAAUCACUAUUUCUUGAAACCCUAGAAUUUCUUCAAAGACCAUCAUCGUCUUUGUAAAUCUUUCUUUGUUCAACUAAAAAAAAGAUUUUAAUGGAGUAUUUCAAUCUUCUACCGGAAGAGAUUACGUUGGGCAUUAUCAGUCGAUUACCCACUGAAGAUGUUUUGGAAUGCAAAUUGGUAUGCACGAAUUGGAGAAGUCUUGUUCGCGAUCCAUCAUUCUCCAAGAUGCAUUUAGAUCAUCUUCAUCAUCCUGCGGCUGAUUCUGGUAAGAUGUGUUUCAUUGCUUUGACUUGUGUUGAUGAGAAGAAUAAAUACAAUCUUGAGUAUGUUAAAUCAAAGAAUUUUCAGUAUUUUGAAUAUGAUGAGAAUCAAGAAUCAAUUGAGAGAAUUAGAAGGUUGAAUUUCAAUCCUCCAUAUGGGUUGAAUACUUGCUUUCUUGGAUCGUGUAACGGUUUGAUCUGUCUUUCUCAAAACACCCCUGAAUACUUAUACCCCUUACCAGGGAAAACCUGUAUUUGUAACCCCAUCACCAGAGAGUAUGUUUUGCUUCCAGAAAUUAACAAAGUUGGAGAGCAUCGUGAGAUUAGUGGAUUUGGUUAUGUUGCUUCGACCAAUGAGUACAAAGUAGUAAGAAUGAUGUUUGAGAACGAGACGGAGUUUAUGGAAGUUUAUAUAUACACUUUAGGGAGUGGAAAUGGAUGGAGAAACCUUGGAGUGUUUAGUCUUGGAACCGAUGGAUGUUAUCAAGAAGGUAUCUUUGUCAAUGGUGUUCUUUGUUGGCUGCACUAUGAUUUCCAUAUGAUGGUUACCUUCGAUUUGGCUGAGGAGAUGUUUUGUGGAUAUCUGUCACUUCCUUUUCCACCAGACUCUAAUUCCGGUAACUAUUAUCUAGGGGUUUUGGAUGGGUGUUUGUCUUUUGCUUUUGGUAGAUGUGUCAAUGAAGCUGAAUGUUGGGACGUGUGGCUAUUGGAUGAUAAUCAAGGCGUGAAACAGCAAGAGGUACAUCACUCAUUGGGUUGGGUUAAAGUGUUUACCACGGUCAAAGGAUACGGAUUGUUUGCCGUUACAAAGAGUUACGCUGCCUUAGCUCACUACGGUAACCAUAUCAACAUUCACCACUUGGAUGCUUCAACCUCAAAAAUGAUUGUGGAUUUCAGAGAACGUUUUAGUAGUGUAAUACCUCACAAGAACACCUUUGUGUCAUUGAAAGAAUUAGGAGAAGAAGAUACAAAGAUAAUGGAAUCAGUUAAAAAUGAGGAGACGGAAGAAAGCCGUGAUCAGCUUUUCAAACAUCUGUAGGAGGAUGAGACCCUGGGACCUGCUUAUAAACUGGAUCUGAAGGGACGAAUACUACAGCUCCAAUCUAGGAGGAGUUACGGAGUUUGGAUCUGGUGCUGGUCCAACUCUUUCUUUGGAAAUCAAACAUCUAUUGAUUCUUCCAACUAGGGAAGUUUUAUCCUCAACAAUUAGCAUUGAUAGCUCCUCACCUUAUCUUAAUUCUGUAAAGAUUCUAUUGAUUCUGUAAAGCAGUUCUGUUUGCUUCAACUGGCAACAAUAGUUCUUGGUGUUGCACCUUCUGUCGAUGAACUUUGCUAGCUUUGAGAUUCUAGAAGGUUUGCGUAAGCUUUAGAGAAGGAGUUAACAUGCUCGCAAGUCGAACAAUACUUUAGGAAAGUAGAUGCGCCACCUCUGGAUUCUGUGGUCGUCCAGUAAAGAUAAUAACUGUGGCAUACGUGUUGCCUCUGGAUUACGAGGCGAAGUUCCUCUAUAGCAAUGAAGUGUCGUGCUAUCAGACCUAGGCCUCGGUGGGUGCUAUCAUAAGAAGGCCAAAAUAAUAUGGGUGUGUCGUGUGGGUAGUAAAAGUGAAGACUUGGUUAAAGCAAGAGUAAAACUCGUGCUAAGAUCUUAUGGCUCUAAUUGUAAACAUUGCAAGUAGAGAUUUGGGAUUUCUUGGAGCACUUCCUACUGUUAUGUGAAACAGAUUGUCGCCUUGAAUAAUUUCACUACAAUUUGAUAUGCCGGUGCCGGAGCUAGCCUUGAAA